CAAGAAGGACACGUGGGAUAUUAACCAUGCUGCUGAGGUGAUCCCUGGGAUUUAAAUUGGCUCUUCCAAUAAUAAUAAGAGCUACUAUUUCUGAGCCCUUACAACAAGCCAGGCAUUUUGCCAGCUCCUAGAGGUAAGAUAGUCAUCAAUGAUGAAGCUACAGCAAACAAAAGUCUGAGCCAAAUAUCAUAAGCAUCAUGAGGGCUCUGGGAGGGAGAUUUAAAGUCUGAGUGAGGCAAGAUCAUGAAGACAGCACCCUCAUCAGGAAUGUAGUUGGAGAAAGAGGGGCUACAAUAGCCCUUUUGUAAGUUCAACUGCCUCCCUGCAACCUCACAGGUACAGUCUUACGGUGAAAAUCUAGAGAAAUUCUGCAGCUGAGAAAAACUAGUGUGUGACAUGGAAUCUGGGAGGCGUAUCUGACAGAAAACAGGGCCAGAGACUGCCCACAUUGACCAGUCCUAUUCCACUGUGGACUUUUGAGCCUGAGCAUCCUUCUAUUAUACUUCUUUGUCAAUAAAUGCACUACUAUGC